rnacentral:rRNA from 1 species
UCGUUUAAAGCCAUUACGUCAACGUCCUUAACGAAUGUAAUCACGUUCUAACCUAUUGACGUCAACUUAAAUGACCGUAAGCAAGCUUUCGGCACCUAAGUAACUUUCAGAGGUCAGAGGAUAGCCUAAAAGGUAUUCGUUGCAAUCCUCGGUCUUAAUCACCACAUUUACCAAAGGUAUAACACUUCAACCGAGGCCGAAGCUACAUUCCUCCGAUCAUUUUAUGGCGAUCAAAAC